UACGUAGGGUGCGGGCGUUAUUCGGAAUUACUGGGCGUAAGGCGUGCGCAGGCGGCUAUAUAAGACAGAUGUGAAAUCCCCGGGCUCAACCUGGGAUCUGCAUUUGUGACUGUAUAGCUAGAGUACGGUAGAGGGGGAUGGAAUUCCGUGUGUAGCAGUGAAAUGCGUAGAUAUGCGGAGGAACACCGAUGGCGAAGGCAAUCCCCUGGACCUGUACUGACGCUCAUGCACGAAAGCGUGGGGAGCUAACAGG
rnacentral:rRNA from 1 species